rnacentral:rRNA from 1 species
UACGUAGGGUGCAAGCGUUGUCCGGAAUUAUUGGGCGUAAAGAGCUCGUAGGCGGUCUGUCACGUCUGCUGUGAAAACUCGGGGCUUAACCCCGGGCCUGCAGUGGGUACGGGCAGACUAGAGUGCGGUAGGGGAGACUGGAAUUCCUGGUGUAGCGGUGAAAUGCGCAGAUAUCAGGAGGAACACCGGUGGCGAAGGCGGGUCUCUGGGCCGUAACUGACGCUGAGACACGAAAGCGUGGGUAGCAAACAGG